rnacentral:piRNA from 1 species
CAAAAGAUCUGAUAUUCUGUGUA